rnacentral:rRNA from 1 species
CCCUGAUAGCAUAGAAGGUCCAGCCUGCCCAGUGACCCUGUUCAACGGCCGCGGUAUCCUAACCGUGCGAAGGUAGCGUAAUCACUUGUUCUUUAAAUGUGGACUAGUAUGAACGGCAUCACGAAGGUUAUACUGUCUCCUUUUUCUAAUCAGUGAAACUAAUCUCCCCGUGAAGAAGCGAGGAUAAAAAUAUAAGACGAGAAGCACCUAUGGAGA